GACGAACGCUGGCGGCGUGCGUAAUACAUGCAAGUAGAACGCACAGGAUGCACCGUAGUUUACUACACCGUAUUCUGUGAGUUGCGAACGGGUGAGUAACGCGUAGGUAACCUGCCUGGUAGCGGGGGAUAACUAUUGGAAACGAUAGCUAAUACCGUAUAAGAACAUUUACUGCAUGGUAGAUGUUUAAAAGGUGCAAGAGCAUCACUACCAGAUGGACCUGCGUUGUAUUAGCUAGUUGGUGAGGUAACGGCUCACCAAGGCAACGAUACAUAGCCGACCUGAGAGGGUGAUCGGCCACACUGGGACUGAGACACGGCCCAGACUCCUACGGGAGGCAGCAGUAGGGAAUCUUCGGCAAUGGGGGGAACCCUGACCGAGCAACGCCGCGUGAGUGAAGAAGGUUUUCGGAUCGUAAAGCUCUGUUGUUAAGGAAGAACGUGUGUGAGAGUGGAAAGUUCACACAGUGACGGUACUUAACCAGAAAGGGACGGCUAACUACGUGCCAGCAGCCGCGGUAAUACGUAGGUCCCGAGCGUUGUCCGGAUUUAUUGGGCGUAAAGCGAGCGCAGGCGGUUAGAUAAGUCUGAAGUGAAAGGCAGUGGCUCAACCAUUGUAGGCUUUGGAAACUGUUUAACUUGAGUGCAGAAGGGGAGAGUGGAAUUCCAUGUGUAGCGGUGAAAUGCGUAGAUAUAUGGAGGAACACCGGUGGCGAAAGCGGCUCUCUGGUCUGUAACUGACGCUGAGGCUCGAAAGCGUGGGGAGCGAACAGG
rnacentral:rRNA from 1 species